ensembl:lncRNA
AUGGGGAGAGAGCAGGUAAGGAGGUGGCAGAGAGGGGCCUGCAGGAACACAGAGGAAAGAAGUGUGUGUGUGUGUGUGUGUGUGUGUAUGUCUCUCUGUGUGUAUAUGUCUGUGUUUGUGUGUAUGUUUCUGUGUAUGUAUAUGUGUGUGUAUGUGUGUAUAUGUGUGUAUAUGUCUGUGUAUAUGUGUGUAUGUGUGUAUAUGUGUAUGUUUGUGUGUAUGUAUGUGUGUAUAUGUGUGUAUGUGUAUAUGUCUGUGUGUAUAUGUGUGUAUAUGUAUGUGUGUAAGUGUAUGUGUGUAUAUGUGUGUAUAUGUCUGUGUGUGUUUGUGUGUAUAUGUGUGUAUGUGUAUAUGUCUGUGUGUAUAUGUGUGUAUAUGUAUGUGUGUAAGUGUAUGUGUGUAUAUGUGUGUAUGUGUGUGUAUAUGUCUGUGGGUGUUUGUGUGUAUAUGUGUGUAUGGGUGUGUAUGUGUGUAUAUGUGUAUGUGUAUGUCUGUAUGUGUGUGCACAUGUGUAUGUAUGUGUGUAUGUGUGUGUAUAUGUCUGUGUGUGCAUGCGUAUGUAUGUCCCUGUGUGUAUAUGUGUGUGUGUAUAUGUGUGUAUGUGUAUAUGUGUGUGUGUAUAUGUCUGUGUGUAUGUGUGCAUAUGUCUGUAUGUGUAUAUGUCUGUGUGUGUAUAUGUGUGUGUAUGUAUGUGUGUAUAUGUGUGUAUGUGUAUAUGUCUGUGUGUGUAUAUGUGUGUAUAUGUAUGUGUGUAAGUGUAUGUGUGUAUAUGUGUGUAUGUGUGUGUAUAUGUCUGUGUGUGUUUGUGUGUAUAUGUGUGUAUGGGUGUGUAUGUGUGUAUAUGUGUAUGUGUAUGUCUGUAUGUGUGUGCACAUGUGUAUGUAUGUGUGUAUGUGUGUGUAUAUGUCUGUGUGUGCAUGCGUAUGUAUGUCCCUGUGUGUAUAUGUGUGUGUAUGUGUGUAUGUGUAUAUGUCUGUGUGUGUGUAUAUGUCUGUGUGUAUGUGUGCAUAUGUGUGUAUGUGUAUAUGUCUGUGUGUGUAUAUGUGUGUAUGUGUAUGUGUAUGUAUAUGUCUGUGUGUUUGUGUGUAUAUGUGUGUAUGGGUGUGUAUGUGUGUAUAUGUGUAUGUGUAUGUCUGUAUGUGUGUGCACAUGUGUAUGUAUGUGUGUGAAUAUGUGUGUGUGUAUGUCUGUGUGUGCAUGUGUAUGUAUGUCCCUGUGUGUAUAUGUGUGUGUAUGUGUGUAUAUGUGUGUGUGUAUGUCUGUGUGUGCAUGCGUAUGUAUGUCCCUGUGUGUAUAUGUGUGUGUGUAUAUGUAUGUGUGUAUGUGUGUAUAUGUGUGUGUAUGUCUGUGUGUGUAUAUGUAUGUGUAUAUGUAUGUGUGUGUAUGUGUGUAUAUGUGUGUAUGUGUAUGUGUGUAUAUGUGUGUGUAUGUGUAUGUCUGUGUGUGUAUGUGUGUGUAUGUAUGUAUGUGUGUAUAUGUGUGUAUAUAUGUGUAUAUGGGUGUGUAUGUGUAUGUGUGUAUAUGUGUGUAUGUGUAUGUGUGUAUAUGUGUGUGUAUGUGUAUGUCUGUGUGUGUAUGUGUGUAUAUGUAUGUGUAUAUGUAUGUGUGUGUAUGUGUGUAUGUGUGUAUAUGUGUAUGUCUGUGUGUGUAUGUGUGUGUAUGUAUGUAUGUGUGUAUAUGUGUGUAUAUAUGUGUAUAUGGGUGUGUAUGUGUGUAUAUGUGUGUGUAUGUGUGUAUAUGUGUGUGUAUAUGUCUGUGUGUGUAUGUGUGUUUGUGUGUAUAUGGGUGUGUAUGUGUAUGUGUGUAUAUGUGUGUGUAUGUCUGUAUAUGUGUGCAUAUGUGAGUGUAUAUAUGUGUAUAUGGGUGUGUAUGUGUAUGUGUGUAUAUGUGUGUGUAUGUGUGUGUGUGUGUGUAUGCGUGUGUGUGUGUGUGUGUGGUGGGGCUGGCCAGCUCGCUGGUGUCUGCAGUUCUUCCGCUCGCUGA